rnacentral:rRNA from 1 species
UGCGGUAAUUUGACCGUGCAAAGGUAGCAUAAUCAGUAGUCUUUUAAUUGAAGGCUGGAAUGAAUGGUUGGAUGAGAGAUUAGCUGUCUCUAAUGUAUAUUAUAAUUUGACUUUUAAGUGAAAAGGCUUAAAUUAUUCAGAGGGACGAUAAGACCCUAUAAAACUUUAUAUGUCAUUAGUUUUAUACUUAAAUUUUAAUUUAAAAUUGUAAAAUUAAUAGUAUAUUUUGUUGGGGAGACAUUGAUAUAAACAGUAACUGUCCGAAUAAAAAUAAUAAUUAUAUUUAGAAUAUGAUCCUUCUUUGUGGAUAAAAAGAAUAAGUUACUUUAGGGAUAACAGCGUAAUUUUCUCUGAGAGUUCUUAUCGAAGAGAGUAGUUGCGACCUCGAUGUUGAAUUAA